rnacentral:lncRNA from 1 species
AUGAUCCUCGGGCAGAAUAACAAAGGGAUUUACUAUGAAAAUAAAAUUGUAGAGAAAUCAAGAAUUCAACAAAUUGAUCAAGAAAAGUUGAAUCUUUUAUUUUCAUCAAAAGUGUAGAGAAAUCAAGAAUGACAAGUCAUGGGUCAGAGAGACUGACUUUGAGUCCGAUGGAUCGAACGCCUAUUUGCCUUUAGGUAGGGUUUUAAGUUCAAGCACC